rnacentral:rRNA from 1 species
UCGAGAAUCUUCCGCAAUGCGCGCAAGCGUGACGGAGCGACGCCGCGUGGGUGAUGAAGGCCUUCGGGUUGUAAAGCCCUGUCAGUUGCUAGGAAUUGGAGGCGGUGAACAAUCGUCCUUCUUGACCAGGCUUCAGAGGAAGCACCGGCUAAAUACGUGCCAGCAGCCGCGGUAAUACGUAUGGUGCAAACGUUGUUCGGAAUCACUGGGCCUAAAGAGCGCGUAGGCGGUUUGAUAAGUCAGGUGUGAAAUCCCUCGGCUCAACCGAGGAACUGCACCUGAUACUGUCUGACUAGAGUGCAGGAGGGGAGAGUGGAAUUCCUGGUGGAGCGGUGAAAUGCGUAGAUAUCAGGAGGAACGCCGGUGGCGAAAGCGACUCUCUGGCCUGCUACUGACGCUGAGGCGCGAAAGCCAGGGGAGCAAACGGGAUUAGAUACCCCCGUAGUCC